rnacentral:antisense_RNA from 1 species
AAUAACCAAAUAUAACACCAGGACUAAGAGUAAGAUUUGUAAUUUUUCUUACGUCACCUCCUCCAGGAGCCCAAGUAUCAUAUAUUCCGCCAAAAUAUAAGGCUUUAAAUACUAAAAGGAAAGCGCCAGCACCUAAUAAAAUUAAAUGAAUACCUAAAAUAGUAGUCAUUUUAUUUUUAUCUUUCCA